rnacentral:rRNA from 1 species
GAUGAACGCUAGCGGCAGGCCUAACACAUGCAAGUCGAGGGAGAAGCCCUUUCGGGGGCAGAAACCGGCGCACGGGUGCGUAACGCGUAUGCAACCUACCUUUCACAGGGGGAUAGCCCGAAGAAAUUUGGAUUAAUACCCCAUAAUAUUAUUGGAUGGCAUCAUUUGAUAAUUAAAACUGCGGUGGUGAAAGAUGGGCAUGCGUCCUAUUAGCUAGUUGGGGUGGUAACGGCACCCCAAGGCUACGAUAGGUAGGGGUCCUGAGAGGGAGAUCCCCCACACUGGUACUGAGACAGGGACCAGACUCCUACGGGAGGCAGCAGUGAGGAAUAUUGGUCAAUGGUCGGAAGACUGAACCAGCCAUGCCGCGUGCAGGAAGAAUGCCUUAUGGGUUGUAAACUGCUUUUAUUUGGGAAGAAUAAGGCGUACGUGUACGUUGAUGACGGUACCAUAUGAAUAAGCAUCGGCUAACUCCGUG